UACGAAGGGGGCUAGCGUUGCUCGGAAUUACUGGGCGUAAAGAGCUCGUAGGCGGCUUGUCGCGUCGACUGUGAAAUCCCGCGGCUCAACUGCGGGUCUGCAGUCGAUACGGGCAGGCUAGAGUUCGGUAGGGGAGACUGGAAUUCCUGGUGUAGCGGUGAAAUGCGUAGAUAUCGGUAGGAACACCAGUGGCGAAGGCGGUCUCCUGGGGCAUUCUUGACGCUGAUGCGCGAAAGCUGGGGGAGCAAACGGG
rnacentral:rRNA from 1 species